rnacentral:rRNA from 1 species
AUUCCAGCUCCAAUAGCGUAUAUUUAAGUUGUUGCAGUUAAAAAGCUCGUAGUUGGAUUUCGGGUGUCACUUGCCGGUCCACCGUUUCGGUGUGCACUGGCGGGCGUCAUCUUUCUGUCGAGGACGCGCUCCUGUCCUUUACUGGGGGGGACGCGGAGUCGGCGAGGUUACUUUGAAAAAAUUAGAGUGUUCAAAGCGGGCUUACGCUUGAAUAUAUUAGCAUGGAAUAACACUAUAGGACUCCUGUCCUAUUUUGUUGGUCUUCGGGACGGGAGUAAUGAUUAAGAGGAACAGUUGGGGGCAUUCGUAUUUCAUUGUCAGAGGUGAAAUUCUUGGAUUUAUGAAAGACGAACUUCUGCGAAAGCAUUUGCCAAGGAUGUUUUCAUCA